CCCUUUUCAGGAUCGCAUCUGGAGAGUUUCCAGUACUCUGUGAAUCUCAGCUAUGGGAGGGAGAGUCAAGCAGAGUCAUACCCAUUCCAUUCCUAGCUUGGACAGUGGCUAGCGAGUGGAAGACUAUCUGCUACAAAU